UACAGAGGGGGCAAGCGUUAUUCGGAAUUAUUGGGCGUAAAGGGCGCGUAGGCGGCCUUUCAAGUGACGGGUGAAAUCCCUCGGCUUAACCGAGGAACUGCCUGUCAGACUGGGAGGCUUGAGACCGGGAGAGGUGAGUGGAAUUCCCAGUGUAGCGGUGAAAUGCGUAGAUAUUGGGAGGAACACCAGUGGCGAAGGCGGCUCACUGGACCGGAACUGACGCUGAGGUGCGAAAGCGUGGGGAGCAAACAGG
rnacentral:rRNA from 1 species